rnacentral:rRNA from 1 species
GACGAACGCUGGCGGCGUGCCUAACACAUGCAAGUCGAGCGGAGGCAUACGAGGAGUAAUCUGAGGAUGCCUGAGCGGCGGACGGGUGAGUAACGCGUGAGCAACCUGCCUUCCACAGGGGGAUAACGUACCGAAAGGUACACUAAUACCGCAUGAGACCACGGUACCGAUGGUAGAGGGGUCAAAGGAGCAAUCCGGUGGGAGAUGGGCUCGCGUCCGAUGAGGUAGGUGGCGGGGUAACGGCCCACCAAGCCUGUGAUCGGUAGCCGGCCUGAGAGGGUGAACGGCCACAUUGGAACUGAGAGACGGUCCAAACUCCUACGGGAGGCAGCAGUGGGGAAUAUUGGGCAAUGGGGGGAACCCUGACCCAGCAACGCCGCGUGAGGGAAGAAGGUUUUCGGAUUGUAAACCUCUGUUCUUGGAGAAGAGAAGAAGACGGUAUCCAAGGAGGAAGCCCCGGCUAACUACGUGCCAGCAGCCGCGGUAAUAC